CCUACGGGAGGCAGCAGUGAGGAAUAUUGGGCAAUGGAGGCAACUCUGACCCAGCCAUGCCGCGUGAGUGAAGAAGGUUUUCGGAUUGUAAAGCUCUUUCGGAUGUGACGAUGAUGACGGUAGCAUCUAAAGAAGCCCCGGCUAACUUCGUGCCAGCAGCCGCGGUAAUACGAAGGGGGCAAGCGUUGUUCGGAAUUACUGGGCGUAAAGGGAGUGUAGGCGGUUUAGUAAGAUAGUGGUGAAAUCCCCGCGCUCAACGUGGGAACUGCCUUUGAAACUGGCAAACUGGAGUGUGUGAGAGGAUAGUGGAAUUCCAGGUGUAGGAGUGAAAUCCGUAGAUAUCUGGAGGAACAUCAGUGGCGAAGGCGACUAUCUGGCACAUAACUGACGCUGAGGAGCGAAAGCGUGGGUAGCAAACAGGAUUAGAUACCCCAGUAGUC
rnacentral:rRNA from 1 species